rnacentral:rRNA from 1 species
UACGUAGGGAGCGAGCGUUGUCCGGAUUCAUUGGGCGUAAAGAGCUCGUAGGCGGCUUGGUAAGUCGGAUGUGAAACCUCCAGGCUCAACCUGGAGUCGCCAUCCGAUACUGCCAUGGCUAGAGUCCGGUAGGGGCCCACGGAAUUCCUGGUGUAGCGGUGAAAUGCGUAGAUAUUGGGAGGAACACCAGUGGCGAAGGCGGCUACCUGGACCGGUUCUGACGCUGAGGCGCGAAAGCGUGGGUAGCAAACAGG